CCAUCAGCCCGAGAUAUUACAUGUUUUUGUAUUAGAUUCUUUCAAAAAAAGGCAGUCGAUACUGGUUUUUCUUUUUUGUUAAUUCGUCCGUCCGUCGGUCCAGCUUGAGCCGGUGCGUUUUAGUCGUGCUGGGUGAGGCAUCAUGCAACAGCAGCAGCAGCAACCUUUUUGAAAGGAAAUGUAUGUCCAGCUCAAGGUGACAGCUCAGCCAUCGAGGAGAAUGCUCAUUCGUUGGCUUCGCCCUCCGUGAAUGGCUAGAUUCGUCGAUUUGAUGUAUGUGUUACGGCAAUAAUUCAGUUGGUAUCAACGCUGUACGGUAAUUAGCACAGAGAGUCAUCAGACUCUUUGCUAUAUAGAUACGCCGUCAUCAAAUUCAGUUCGAGUCCAAUGCGCCGAUAACAAGCGUCCAGAAAGGGAAAGCUUUUUUUUCCCUUCAAGUCUCACUAACGCCCGACGGCCAAUGAAUAUUGACACCGACCCAGACACACAUAACUGUAUAGAAAAGAAGAAAUCGGUUUUGAUGUACAGUAGCUGUUGAUGUUCAGGAUUUAAGGUGACGUUGCACAUCAGCAUUUACCACGUUACGUUGUUUUUGUCUUUUUGUGACCUUGUUAUUCCGAAACGAUGACUUAAACGAAAUGAGAUCAUCCGACAAACGGGAAAUAAUCGGAAGAAUCUUUGGACUAGAAUAAGUUGAAAGGCUAAAAUCGCCCAUCGAUUUGCGUUCAAAUACGAUGGGUGGAUAUAGUGAUGCAAUGUCAUUAGUUCGGGAAAUUUGACAGCUUCUGUUUGCUCUAAAUACGUGAAUUGUUUGUUCGAUAUUUCCAUCAGCCCAGUUUUUUUUAUGCUACGACGUAGGGUCACCCACCGAUGUGUGUGGCCUCUAAUACUAAUGGGUGAGAAAUUGCCCACUUUCGAAAUUUUGAUGACUAAUAUCCACUGAAAUAUUCCAAACCAGGAGGUUAAACACCUAAGAACAUCCUGAAUAACCAGUUCAUGAUUUUCCUCGUCAACUUCGCUUGUUCAAUCAUUUGAAAUUUCAAAUUUGACGAUUCUAGAAUCAGAUGCGGAUGUUCAUGAAAAAUCAAACAGGAAUACGAAUCAUUCCGUUCCGCUGGUGUUUAGGUAAGAAAUAGAGACUGACCGGAACUAGGCACCGCCUGGCACCCGAUACUCUGGCGUGCAGUGACUCAGUCAGGAUGCGGGUUUCUUACAAAUACAAUACGAGCUCAGUGCUGGAUGUUUACCCUACGGCAGUUUUGUUAUAAACUUGCGACAUCUACCGGGUUUUUACCAACGAAAUGCUGCGGGUUGUGUGUUAGUGUACGUACCUGGUACGACCGGUGUUUACUUUUUACAGACUUUUCUGCGCACAAGCUUACGUCAUUUCGGAAAACAAUCUUUGGCUUUCAGACUCUAUUGAGCACACUAAAAGCAACAUUCCGGGAAAGUUUUUUUUAUCUGUUUUCAUUCAUGUUGUAUCACUGGUUGUAUGUAGAGGUAGCUAAUUAAGUGGAAAGUGGUUUUAUUACAGUUAACAAUUUGUACUUCAUCUUGGCAGUUUUCCAGCAAAAUAAAAAAAUCUUGCUCAGGUUAAUAAUUAUGGCGUACAAAUUUAAAUACAUUGAAUGGAAUAUUGGAAUAGCCUGAAGCCCUGAACAACUGAAAGAGAAUAAAUGAAUGACUGAAAUUAUGAUUUGCUUUUCUUUCAAAAGGCGCCGUCGAGCUAUAUAAAAUUUGCAACGCUGCUUUCCCCAUUUUUUACGGAAAUUCGUCUGCACUGCACCGCACGAAACCGUAGCUCCGUCAUAAACUCGCCGUUGAAGUUGCAAACUUAUAACUUAGCGUAGUGCUGGAUAAAUGUUUAAACAAUUUUAUUCAUUGUUUGGUUGUAAUGGACAGUUGCCAAAUUUUACCGUUCGUGCGAAAUUUUGUGAUGUUUCUCGAUUUCCCAAUCAUAGUACUUGUGUUAUUCCUGUGCAUCGCAUUCUCCAAGUCCCAACACGUGGUUGGAACAAAGCAGUAAAGUCAAAGAAAUGAAUACUGAAAAGCCCAGGGUGCACAGAACACACAGGUAGAAGAAAUGUGGAUGGAUGGAUAUUUUGCCUGCCUUGGAUUUUCGUGGAUUUUCAAUCUCUGUGCCAACAGCAAGAGGCCUGAAGUGUUUCACCUGUGUUAGUGUUAGUCUCUAUGCUGGAAAAGAAUUGGUUGAUGUCAGCAAAUUUGCUUCGAUAUGUCUUUUUGCCAAGCCAAUGUUACUGCAAAAAAUACAGCAAGUCUUUAGCCUUGGAAAUGCAGUGUAUUAAUACUGUUUAUGAAGCGAUUACGUAAUAGGCUUUAACUGAUUUGAAAGGGUAUCAAUACUUUCCAGUGCAGAAUAGAUCAGAUUGAACCAAUUCCACAGCUUUCAUUAAGUUGUCUGCUGCCCUUCUGAAUCUCCUUGUUGAGUUCAAACUUAGAAUGGUCACACUCUUAUUUUGAGAUUAAUCUUGCGCCGCUAUUCCAUGAAUUGAAUCCAUUGGUGGAAACUGACGAGAGAUCAGCAUCAGCAUCACCAUUUUUAAAGAGGGUUUUGGCCCAUGUCCAUUCGUUCCCAAGUUUAAAGCUAGCAAGCAACCACCAACCUUGGUCGGGUCACGAAAAAAGCCAGACAGCCGGCACGGAAAUAGUCACUCCAAGCCCAAUAAAUAGCUAGCAAGCAAGCACCGUCGUCGGUCGUGCCAAGAACAAAAAGAAGCAGGAAAGUGAGUAGUUCGAAAAUCCGACAUAAAGACCAGCUGGGAUUUUUUAUAAGGCGCUAUCAUCAGAAAAAUAUUAGUAAACUACGUGGGUCUCUCAAGGAGAGCGUUGAUAUUAGUUUUGGUGUUUGAUGGCAUACGACGAAUGGCCUUGUGGACUAAUCCAAUGGAAGCAAAGAUUCCACCCCCUGCUUUGUCUAUGAUCCAGUAAAACCAAGUUCGGACUGGUCCAGUGGAGUAAGACGGCUACAAGUAGUAAUACUUUGUGAAGUGACCCGGCCAUUUACGUCGCAUCGGAUUACAACAUCACCGCGAUGACUCCGACGCAGUUAAAUUUCCGUAAUGGUCACCGCAUAUCCCAUCCAUCUGGUUAAAUUCUACAAAACUAUUUGUGGCUAUUCCAUUCGUUCAGUUGUGUUCGGUUUUACAGGAGGCUAAAUCUUCAUCAGAGUGUUCCUAGUUCACCCCCAGUCAAUCCGGUUGGACAAAUUGACCUGCAGCCGGUCUUAUCGCAUUUCCGACUUGAGAAUUGGUACAACGUACAAGGUUCGCCAUCUCUCACGCCGGUCUAUUACAGAAGUAGUCAACGUCGUGCGAUGAGAAGUUAUGUCCUUUCAAGAAAAAGGACUAAGAGUCAACAAGAUUCCUUGUUUGCUAACCCGUUAUUGGCUGCUACCCUUGAAUCUCCCCAUUUGUCAACAACAAAAAAAGAGGUUAAAUAUUGUGAUCAUGCUAUCAUCAUUAUGUUGCCUGUAAGACCAAAUGUGGGGCAUCUGCCAUCUGGUUAUCCCUCCAAAAUAAGGCAAUGACCACACGUUGAACGCGGUCAUCGAACUUGACUCAUUCCAUCUUCUGGAUUGCGUAGGAAUGCUGAUUGGUGUUACCUGUCAUUUAGGUAAUGGCGAGAAGAUGCGACCUACAUGAACUUCUUCUUCAACGGCUUCUACUACCCUACUCUCAACAUAGCACGGAGUUUCACCCUUUAGAUUUUUGGCUGCUGUUCGCGAUGUGUGACGUUUCCUUGGACGAGAUGAUGAUUUUGGCGAGAAAAAUAUUGUGAACCUUCAGGUUCCUAAAUUUGCAUGACAGACUUUAUGAAAAGUAAUGUUCUUUCAAGAAAGUCAACAAGGUCCCUUUUUGCUAACCCAAUGGCUGCUACCCUUGUAUCUCCCUAUUUUGCUCCUUAGACAGUCCCUCUUGAUUUGAGGGUGAUCCUUCCCUACUGAUCAUGGACUCUAUUGGUGAAACUGAAAACCGACGAGAGAAUGCUGUAAUCCAAGACUGAUAAAUUGUGUGCUGCAUUAAACAAGUUGCGACUGGAGAACCACCUGCAGGUCGAGGGUCUAUGAGAAAGAUUCCUACCGUCAAAGAAACCAAACAAACCCAAGGUCACCGUGUACAUUUCAUACCAACUCUUCCUCUGUUACUCGGGAAAUAUAUGACUGAUCCCGAGCAAGUUGCAAACCUCUUGUCAAUCCCUCAAUACUUAAAUAUGGAAAUCUAUACUACCUCACGUCAAGAGAAGAGUCUAGAUUCGUUAUUGCGCUUGAUCCAGAAUAUAGUGGAAAGGCACACCACAACAGAAGUGUUGGAAGGCUGCGCUCAAGCGCUGGAAUAUCUUUGUAAUGAAGAUUACGCCAUAUCUUCUCGAUGUGAUUUAACAAGGAACCCUUUAAUUGAUCGUAUCGUUAAGAAAUGCGAACAAGAUUAUGAAAAUUAUGUAACACUGAUGGCUGGCGACGACUAGCCCAAAAAGGAUGCGGUGUUUACGCUGGAAUUGGGUUUGAAAAAAAUUCCCUUAUUCUCGUCACAUCACAAUCUUGGGACAUGGAAUUUGUGGAAUUCUCUGUUUAACGGAAUUCAAGAAACUUUAAACCUAAAUCGGUCAAUGCCACUUGAAGCUAUAAAAUAUUGCAUUUCUGCUUGCCAUUCUGCUGUUUUAUGGGAGCUUCUGCAAUUCAAAAACUGUUCUGGACAAGGAACGUCUGCCGCGCAACAACAGAAACAAUUAAGAGAUCAUUUGGGCGCGUACAUGUCUUUGAUGACUGAGCUAAUCACUUCGAACGUUGCUGAUUUUAGAGAAGAGGCAUACGUGUCUGUAGGGGAUUUGCUUAUAUGUUUUAGCAAGCGACUAAAA